rnacentral:lncRNA from 1 species
GUUUUUAGAUUCCUGAAGGCAUCACAAAUUUUGAUUAUGAUAUUCUAUUAUGAUGUCGCCUGAGUGCAACUACUUCCACUUUCUACCUGAAGUAUGGUUCUGACAUGUGGGGCGUAUCUAGUUGAGUUAGCAGGGCCCAUCUCCAAGAAAUCUACAAAAGUUCUAGGACUUACUGGGAGGCCUCUUACACUUAGCUUCUCCAGUUCCAUCAAGUGUUGAAAAAAUAUACUGUAAGCCAAAUCUUGGAGACCACCUGCCCUGAGCAAAUGUCUAGCUGACAUAUGAGAAUUAAACCUGAGCAGAGGUAGCCAUUGCUGGUAACUCCCCAUGAUUCAUGUUUGGCUAUAACCUCAGACUCAUUGCUUUCACCUAAAAUUCUCGAAAAACAAAAGUUGGAGCUAUGGUGAUGUGGAGGGAAAUGCCUGCCAAGACAAGGAAGGAGGGCUUUGCUCCUGUGCUUUAUCAUCCCUCACCACGGAUGACCCAGAGAGAAAAGAUGAUAGAGAUAAAAGAAGCCAAGAGGACAACACGUUUAGAUAAAGAAGGAGAAAUAAAGUUGGAGCCUUGCCCAGGAGCUCUCUCCCAACAUGGUUCAGCGAAAACAUCUGAGAGAGAUAACAAAGUGAUUUGAAGCAAUUUCCACCAACA